rfam:Helianthus annuus linkage group 15, whole genome shotgun sequence.
GCUUUCGAGCUUAGUUGGCUGUGGAGCACAUGAAAACUCCACAAUUAAGCGUGCUUAGAUGAGAGUAAUACCAGGAUGGGUGACCUUCUGGGAAGUCUCCACAUGGGCAACC